CUGAAAACCGCGAGGACUGAUUGAGAUCAUUAAUGUGAGGUGCAUGUUAACCCCUGGGCCAAUCAACAAUGAAGACCUUUGAAAUAUACAGUAGUGUCCUUUAAGGUGUCUGGCAUCAUUCACAUCCAAAAGACGCCUGAAGUGUCCACAGGCAGCUCAAGACAUUGCAAGGUUGUAUCCGGCUGCAGGUCGCAGACUCGGCCUUCCACGCCCCCUGCCUUCCACGCCACGCCCCCAGCAUUCCCGUCCGUCUUCUGUCGCAUCGCUUUCGUUGAAAAUCUAGUAACGCUGAUUUACCAUGUAACCCAAAAAGACGAUAUUAAUAUACACCAGUAUACAGUGCCUAACCACGCUAGCGCCACACAGACUGUAACCAGGUCGGGAUUGAACCAAUCAGAAUGAAGACACGACCAGAGAGGUGGACGGCAUGUGACAACAAAUCCAAAGCAGCA